GGCAGCAGUGGGGAAUAUUGGACAAUGGGCGAAAGCCUGAUCCAGCCAUGCCGCGUGUGUGAAGAAGGUCUUCGGAUUGUAAAGCACUUUAAGUUGGGAGGAAGGGCAGUAAGUUAAUACCUUGCUGUUUUGACGUUACCGACAGAAUAAGCACCGGCUAACUUCGUGCCAGCAGCCGCG
rnacentral:rRNA from 1 species